GGUGAGAGUAUCUCAUGCUGAUUCCUGCUUACCUGAGGCCUUCCAAGGGUCACAGCUGGAACCACUGAUGGAGCACCUGGUGAAGGGGCGUAGCCAGCUCUGGGACACAGGUGGAAGCAAUCCCUCCUAAUCUCAUACAAUGGCUGGCAGCUGCAAAGGAAAAAAUCUCUACUUCGAGAUCGUCUCAUUUGGAGUGUUUGGUGGAUCUUGAUCCUUGGAAUGGGAUAUGUUGGUGCCAGAGGUUUUACAGUUCUCUUAGCUCCAUGUUGGUUUUUGGUCUCCCAUGAGGGUGGUGCCAUCUUUGUGACUGGGGAACCUGAGAGCAACAGGAAUGGUGUGGCAGCCCUCGUGACCUGAAGAGACACCAUGCUUCCUUUGGUAUGCAAGAAAUUACGUUAGACUUUCUUCUGGGAUUGUAGAUCAUUGUUCAGCCCAUUCAUAGCUCCUGCAGUUCCAAUUGCUAUUACAUAGGACAACUCUCACUUCUUCUGAGGUUGCGGGACUCUUCCCCCACUGCUGUACUACACAGGUGUUUCAACUUUGAGCGUUAGCAAUGUUGAACUCAUUCUGUCAGCAUCAACAAUUUCACUUCAGGAAACAACAGGAAGGAGUUUUCCAUUCAGUGGAGUAAGGAAAAGGUUUCACCUGGCGGCAGGUGCUGGAGAGAAACUGGAGGACUGCUGCAACUGGAGUUGGAGGUACAAUCACGUUUCAGAUGGAUUUCCUGCACCAAGUGCUGUGCCCAGAAGUGAGGUUUCCAAGGUUGACAUGUUAGCCUGCUGUCAUUUUGCUCAGUACCUCAGAGGGCA
ensembl:lncRNA